ACCGUACUAUAUCGUCAAUUCCUAAGAAAUAAUGGCUAUUCGUGUGAAGUAUAUCAUGCAAGAUUGCCGACACAAGAUAAGAAGACAAUUUUCCUUGCUUGGAAGGAAAAUCGUAUUCAAGUUUUGUGCGCGACAAUAGCAUUAGGUAUGGGUAUUGAUAAACCAAACACUCGAUUUGUUAUCAAUACGACAAUUUCCAAUUCUUUGGCAAAUUAUUGUCAAGAAUCGGGAAGAGUUGGUCGCGAUAACAUUCCGAGUGAUUGCAUUUUAUUUUAUCACUACUAGGAUGUCUUCACAAAAAUGAAAUUAUUUAUUAAGGAUCAUACAACAACAACAACAACAGCCAAUGAUUAUUGAGGAGGAUGAUAAUCAUAUUGGAAAUGAGGAGUUGCCCAUAAAUAUUUUUCAAUUUUCAAUCUUUAAUUUUCCAUUCCUUUUCUAAUUCGUUUUUCCAUUUUUUUUUCGAAUAAUUAUGCCUCCUAAAAAAAUUAAAUCUUUAAUAACAACUGUUAAUAAUGAGGAAUAUUUAGAAUUUUUAAAAUUAUUCAAAAGUGAGGAGAAGAAGAAGGAAAUAAAAUUAAGAGACGAAGCAGAGAAGAUGGAAAUGAGAAAAAAAUUAAAAAAGAGGAUGUCAAGAAGGAUGAUAAUGAUAUUUAUUGUUUUGAUGAAAUUGAAAAUGAAAUAAAUAUGUCAGA